rnacentral:rRNA from 1 species
UACGAAGGGGGCUAGCGUUGCUCGGAAUCACUGGGCGUAAAGCGCGCGUAGGCGGCUUUCUAAGUCAGGGGUGAAAUCCUGGAGCUCAACUCCAGAACUGCCUUUGAUACUGGAGUGCUUGAGUCCGGGAGAGGUGAGUGGAACUCCGAGUGUAGAGGUGAAAUUCGUAGAUAUUCGCAAGAACACCAGUGGCGAAGGCGGCUCACUGGCCCGGUACUGACGCUGAGGUGCGAAAGCGUGGGGAGCAAACAGG